AAACUCAGAUGUCUUUACUUCCAGCAGAGAGGACACAACUCUCAGGCUGAAUUAGGCCAUUUGAAGAGGUUUACCAAAAUCUCCGUGGGUUACAGACACAAGACUUUUCUCUCACACUGGUCUGGACUGAGCACAGGGUGGUUGUAGAUGCUGGAACUCAAUUUAUCCAUAAGCUGGGGAGGACCUGAACUGGCUCUAGCUGUUCUGAAAGAGAGAAGAAGCAGCCCAACAGCUCUAACGAAAAUGGUACGUUCAAGGAGAAGCUUCAGAAACCAGAUAAUCAGGUUACCAGGACCCAUGAUGCUGCUAUGAAAGACGACUGACUUCAAGGCCUUUGAGAAAGAAAAUAGAAAUUUCCAAUUUUGUUGUUCAGGUUUUUCUUUUACAGGGGUUCAUUUAGCCACACAACUAGGAGGCGAGUGCCUUGGUUGCAACUGUAAAGGGGAAGACUGAAUGACAGUGCCAGAUGCCCCAAGUUAACAGUGAGUGAGAAAAGCCCUACUGCCAGCUGCCUUUCCUGCCUUCCAAAUCUCAGACCAGCGAGAAAUCAAGACAUGGUUUAGGUCAGUGUGCUUCACCUCCCAUGAACUGGGGAUGGGGAAGUGAAGGGAAGAGUGCUGCAGAGCUGCUGCUUGUCUGCUCUCUGAAGGCUUCCUGUUAGGGACAAUCCUCAGUUGUCCAUUUAGGGCAGUAUUAGAGCUGCUGAGGCAUGCAGAGCUGCAGAUGGGGCUGAGAGUACAGCUUGAUACUUCUCUGUUCAGCCACCAGUUACAGCAUUAUCAGAUGCUCACCAGAGGUGGGUACCCAGACUGCUACAAUGGCUGAAGGCAAAGCAGGAGGUCUGCUUUUAAUGAAAAGGUAGUUUACACACAGCAUUUUUCUUUUUAUAAUGAUAAAAUGGAUAUGAAACAGUUACACUCCAGGCCCUUACUUUUAUUUAGUGCUGUUUAUUUUUUUCGAACACUGAAAACAAAACAAGCAAAAAGAGAGGAGGGGAAAAAAAAAGGAAAAAGAAAACUCCCUUCAGACAACAAUCACCUUUUGAGUUAAAUUCUCAUGCUUGGUCUUAGCCCAGAGGGAUUUGUCUUGAGUGAAGUUCGAAGAAAAUCCUUUCAGCAGUUUGAGUUACUUAUAUGUAACCAUGGAGGUUUGGAUUCAGAUGCUUUUUUUUACUUACAUAAGUCAAAAAUAGCUUUGCUUUAAAACUUUUAAAUUAACCCUCCUUAACUUUUCAACUUGUCACCUAUCCUACUGUAUGGCUUAUAAAAUUUUAAAGCUAAUAGUAUAACAAACUCAAAUAAUGAUACUGCAGAUGUUCAAAUGAAUCUUGGGAGAAAUAAAUUAUAGGAGUUACAGUGGGUUGUUACUGAAGAGAGUGGCUGCUUGCCUUAAACCAUGUGUUCUUUCUGGUCUGAAAAAGGCCCAAUUUUUCUACUAUUAAGAAGCAUAAGUGUUCUUGGGUGUAGAUUUUAAUACUCAGUUACACAUACAAAAUUAAGCAUGUAAGUCCUGUUCCUUUAUUUCUUCCUGAUAUCCCUGAUUUAGACUUGUCAAAACAUUCUCUUAAAUUUUCCUGCUCUCUUUUUAACAUAAUCCCAAUCAACAGGACACUUAAACAUCUCCUAAAUAUUUAUGGACUUCAAAGUCACUGAAAUGCUCUGUGAUUCUCUUACUGUUACUAUUUUAUUGCCAGAAGAUCGAGGCAAUGAGAGGUGAAGUGUCUUGGUAAGUAAUGUUUUUUCCACUUUCUUUCUGCAAUCCUCCUGUUGCUCUCUGAUGUUUCUUCCUCUUUGUCUUCUUUCCAACAUUUCUGCCUCACUUACUGGUCCUGUUCUCAUUGUCUCCUAUCUAUCUUUCAACCGUCUUUCUCCAUUUAUUCUUCUCCAACAAUUGCACUGAAGAAAGCCCAUGAUAGAAAUUAUUUUUACUUUGGCAGCAGCUUUUCACUUUUAUCUCUUCCCUGAAUGUCUGGGAUGGGUCCAGGCAGCUCUCCCCACUUUCAUCAUCUCUGUUCACAUCCCUCGUGACCCUGAGCUCUAGUCAGCAAUCUGAUGUCUGCCAUGAGAGCACCUCCCAUGAUCCAAAGCCACAACCAGACCAAGGUGUUGUAACACCAUGUGCUGUUUUACUGACUUACCACGCUUGCUCUGCUGCUUUCUAGGAACUGCACACCUGUGCCAGGUUUUUCUCACAGAAUAAUAAUGACAGCACUGUUGCCUUUUGCACGUCUCUCCUCCUUGCUCCUGUGCCCAUCUUCCUCUCCGAGCUUUGUGGUUCAGUCUCCUGCCUAGUGCAGUUUAGUCAGGAUAUGGGAGACUUAUAUUUAGGCUCUGCCUGAGGCAAUUUGAACUUGAAUCUCUUGCCCCCUGAAUUUACACCCUACCCAAGAGAUUAUCUACUCCUCUGUGAGGAGGGUGACCUGAGUCCAUUCUUUUAGUGGGAAAGCUCGAGCUUGACUUUUCAGUCUUGUAGUGGAGACACUCACCUGGGUGGGGAAACCAGGACCUGUCCCAGUCAAUACUUGAAACCAAUUAUGGAGGUAUUCCCUGGAAGACAGUAGCAAAGCCCAGGUUUCUUGCUGUCAGUAGUGCUUUGAGAGCAAGCACACAGAACAAUCAAUUUAAUCCAAUUAAUUAUUCCAUACAAGCUGGAACAGCUCCAACAGGAUGGACUGGAGAAAGACCCUGCUCAACAGGAUCCUCAUAGAUGUGUGCUGAUCUCACUUGGCUGCCAUGGGUCACUCCCUCAUACCCCAGAGCAGCCAUGGAGCUGCCUCAGCACCAUGGGACUGGGUGGUGAGGACGUGUGUGGAGACUGGAGGGGGGGAAGGGAAGCGUGUUCCUGAACAUACUCUGUUAUCCAUGGUGGCAGGUUUGUAGUUGUAGCUGAAACAAACACCUGCCAGUGUUACCAUUCU
ensembl:lncRNA